rnacentral:rRNA from 1 species
UACGUAAGUGGCAAGCGUUGUCCGGAUUUACUGGGCGUAAAGAGCGCGCAGGCGGUCGUUCAAGUCGCGUGUGAAAGCCCCCGGCUCAACUGGGGAGGGUCACGCGAUACUGAUCGACUGGAAGGCAGGAGAGGGUAGUGGAAUUCCCGGUGUAGUGGUGAAAUGCGUAGAUAUCGGGAGGAACACCAGUGGCGAAGGCGACUACCUGGCCUGUUCUUGACGCUGAGGCGCGAAAGCUAGGGGAGCAAACGGG